rnacentral:rRNA from 1 species
UACAGAGGGGGCAAGCGUUGUUCGGAAUUACUGGGCGUAAAGGGCGCGUAGGCGGCCUUCUAAGUCAGACGUGAAAUCCCCGGGCUCAACCCAGAGCCUGCAUCCGAAACUGGCGGGCUAGAGUUCUGGAGGGGGUAGCGGAAUUCCUGGUGUAGCGGUGAAAUGCGUAGAUAUCAGGAGGAACACCGGUGGCGAAGGCGGCUACCUGGACAGAAACUGACGCUGAGGCGCGAAAGCUAGGGGAGCGAACAGG